rnacentral:rRNA from 1 species
GAUGAACGCUGGCGGCGUGCCUAAUACAUGCAAGUCGAGCGAACGGACGAGAAGCUUGCUUCUCUGAUGUUAGCGGCGGACGGGUGAGUAACACGUGGAUAACCUACCUAUAAGACUGGGAUAACUUCGGGAAACCGGAGCUAAUACCGGAUAAUAUUUUGAACCGCAUGGUUCAAAAGUGAAAGACGGUCUUGCUGUCACUUAUAGAUGGAUCCGCGCUGCAUUAGCUAGUUGGUAAGGUAACGGCUUACCAAGGCAACGAUGCAUAGCCGACCUGAGAGGGUGAUCGGCCACACUGGAACUGAGACACGGUCCAGACUCCUACGGGAGGCAGCAGUAGGGAAUCUUCCGCAAUGGGCGAAAGCCUGACGGAGCAACGCCGCGUGAGUGAUGAAGGUCGUCGGAUCGUAAAACUCUGUUAUUAGGGAAGAACAUAUGUAAGUAACUGUGCACAUCUUGACGGUACCUAAUCAGAAAGCCACGGCUAACUACGUG